rnacentral:rRNA from 12 species
GACUCUAGCGAGACUGCCGGUGUCAAACCGGAGGAAGGUGGGGAUGACGUCAAGUCCUCAUGGCCCUUACGGGUUGGGCUACACACGUGCUACAAUGGCAGGUACAGAGGGAAGCGAGACAGUGAUGUGGAGCGGAGCCCUUAAAGCCUGUCGUAGUCCGGAUUGGAGUCUGCAACUCGACUCCAUGAAGUCGGAAUCGCUAGUAAUCGCAGGUCAGCAUACUGCGGUGAAUACGUUCCCGGGCCUUGUACACACCGCCCGUCACACCAUGGGAGUGGGAUGCAAAAGAAGUAGUUAGUCUAACCUUCGGGGGGACGAUUACCACGGUGUGGUUCAUGACUGGGGUGAAGUCGUAACAAGGUAGCCGUAGGGGAACCUGCGGCUGGAUCACCUCCUU